rnacentral:lncRNA from 1 species
UCGAGUGCAGAUGAGCCCACCAACAUUAAUCUCUCGGACUACUCAAGCGAUGAAGGUGAUACAAGCAGUUGCACCGAUGAUGAAACAACAGAUAAACCUACCCUGCCUGCGUCAGCUCCUCCCUCCUCACCUUUGUGUCCUCGUCAAAAAGGAACUCAAAAGCUUAAAGAAACCUCCCCCAAAACAAACAUAUCCCAGCCGCUUUCAUCCUACUCUUCACCUCUACCGCGUAAAAUUUUACAGGUUCAUUGCGCCAACUUGGACAUCUUUAAUCGAGAGAGUGAUGUUGAUUCUGGUGGUGAAAGUCCAGUUGGAGGACAUAUCUCAAGAAGUAUGGAAAGAAAUAAUAUUGAGAAUUUCCAGUUCUUGAAUCGAGGACACAUGCCUCCUGAGCUAAUGAUAACUACGGCACAAGUUUAUGAUAUGCAAAUUGUGACGGAAGGAAAUACAUCCUUUACGAAGGAAACUAACGAUACGAAAGAUUUUUAUUCAGAAGCUUGUCAAACAGAUUCCGAUUACAGUUGGAGUCCAGAGAGAUCAAAAUCUCAAGUUACGAGCAAAACAACGAUUCUUAGAUCUGACUUCAGUCCUGAAAUCCGCGUGGGAUUUCAUAGAUCUGUUUCGCUCCAACAGAGGCUCUGGGGUGGAUCUGAUUUAGAGGCUGGACUUCUGACGUGGAGCUCACCAAUACUUUGUACAGACACAGCAAUCUUAAGAUCCUCCUCUCAACGAGCACGUCACAGCGGGAACGACGACAGAAGCAGUGCACCUCAUCAAAGGAUCAGGAGUAACCCAACAACGCGCAGGUUCUCUCAGGGUUCGUAUCGCAGACCCAAGCGGAAAAUUGAUUAUGAAAAGCUUGGCAUCGCGGACCUAUGCAUCAGGUCGUGUUCGCACAAGUUAUCUCUACUGAAGGAGCAUCGAGGAAAAGGGAAAGCAAAAUCGACCAAUCGAGAGAAGAAACAAGAAAAAGCAUCCCUUUCGCGAAAAAAGUACAAGCAGGCAAUUAUGAGAGUCGAUGAUGCCGAACUGACCGGUGAACAAUCCGAAUACGCAGAGCACACAGAUGUCAAAUAUACAAAAUUAAAGAAGAAAAAAAUCAAGAAGAAAGGAUUGGGGAAGCAAUCCCUGGAGAUCCCUCAAAAAGCCUUAAGAAAAGGAGGCUCAGCAUCAAGCUCUUCUAAUUCAGGCGGCGUUAGUAAAGCAGAAAUCAUGAAAAUCCAAAAUCAGAUGCCAGAAGAUGAUAAAGCGACUAGAAGCAGGAAGAAGAAAAAGCAGAGGUUUGUCAACAUUCAUCGCAAAAUCCGUAAAAUCAUCGACGCUGUUACAACGUCCAAUGGAGACCGAUCGGUCUGCUCAAAUGAAGAUUAUAAACCCAUAUGAUAGAAUAUUAGCAUAAUUUUCAUGACUCACACGAUAUGCGUACUGCCUUUAGUUAUCUAAACUGACCAAUUUAUACAUUGUAACAAGUUAAGAGAACGGCAACAAAAAGGAAUGAAUGAAAAGUGGUUAAAGUAUAUUCCCACAUUUUAUCUCAAACCUGUCAUCUAUUGUAAAUUGAUUUUUCUGUAUAUAUCUCAAAGUCUCCUUUUCUUUUUUUAAAAAAUCUCCAAAUAAAAUUCUCUUUUUCUGAUUUAAGUGUUUUUAGAACCGUCUCCUGUAACCUUUGUUUCUUGGGUAAUUUACCAUGACGAGCCGGGUGUCUUGGCCAAGAAUCCGGUAUUUUACUUGAACCAUUCUGCAGGGUUUCUUCAAGCCCAGCUUCUUUGGGCCUUCUUGAGGUAAACUAGAAACAUUCUGGGGUCAACAAGAGAUUGUACUCAAGGUCAGGUAGAAAUGCUCGUGCCCCUUAAAUUGCAUCAGGCGCGAUUGAAGGAGAUUCAGCACUUCUGACUUUAGUUUUUUAAUGUCACGUUUAGGUACGUGCAGUCAGUACCACUGUCCAAAAAGAAAUGGUGCACCAAUGAAGUAUGAUAUGGGCUUAUUAUGACAUGAAGUGUACGGACCCUACAAAUCCCAUCUUGGGCCCUGAUACCAUGUUUAAGGUCCUGACCCUACAUCUGCUAGCUCCCCCCUCCACCCUCUUAUCGUCAGAGAAACUUUACUUGAAGCACACAGUUGCAUUGAAGUUCCCGAACAUUGAAAUCGAGGAUGCCCCGAUUAGAGACUCUUAGCAUCAGCCGUAGGGAGAAAAUGAAACGCAGUCAUUAAAAAUAUCAUUCUUUACUAAAACUCUCGAAAAUAGAUAGGAAUCUUUAAAGAGGUGAAAAAAAUUCCACAUUGUCCAAGCGUGCUUCAGAAAAGUCAUUCACCUUCUCCGGAAUUUUUACGGUAAAGUUCUCGUUUUCCUCACGAAACAAGGGCCACAUGGGUGAUUUCACGAUAACAGGAACAGCUAAAAUGUGCAACUCCUUAAAAAUUAAAGUGCACCAAUAUUAAACAUAUUUCAUUACUUCAUUUUAAUUGUAUUAAACUUUCUCUUUCCAGCUUUGGCACGAACUAUUUUGACUCAGUACAAAGUUUUGACAAGGCCCAACCCACUGAAGGCGCUCCGCGCCAUCAAUAUGAGCCGCAUCGUGGCUCUAUUUUUAGCCUUCUGUCGAUGCUGGUUUUAUUUUUCCCCUUAAAAAAUACGAUAUGAGGUAUACUUUACUUUUAGAAUGAAAUGGUUUUUGUUUUUGAUGAAGAAAGAAAAAAAAAUUGAAGUCAAAAAGACGCGUUUUACAAUGACUGAUUAAUGAAACAUUACAGAAAAACAACGAAAAAUCAGGUCAUAAUCAAGUACCUGUGAAGUCAGGAAUCGAACCCUCGUCUUGAGACAUGUGGGCGUUUCCGACGUCUUAGACGACUCGGCCACUGCUCAUCUUAAAGUGACCGGGGCGAAUCUUGUGUUGAUAAGUAGAGCUGAUGCGAAGGCUACUCAGCCACUGCGCAACCUUCUGCGCAUAGCGACAGCAGGUGCGGAACAUUCUGUAAAUUUGGUCACUUUUAUAACUUGAUUGUAAAAAAACCUGGCUCCUUUUUCCAAAAUCUGAUUAAAACGGGCACAUCUAGGGCCUAUCGCCUAUCGAUAACCGCAAAAAUCAUGGAAAUCGGUCCGGUAGAACGCUCAAUCGAACUAUGACAAAAAACAUAAAUUUUCAUUGUUUAAAUGGGAAAAUUCGCAACUUUACCACAUAAUAUAAAAAACCUGGAUCAUAUUUUGAAAAUCUGAAUAAAGCGGGCUCAUCUAGACACAAUUGUCCGUCGAUAACCAGAAAAAUCAUGGAAAUCGGCCCGGUAGAACGCUGGAACUAAGUGGUACCAGUUACAAAAAAUUAGGAGGUCUCGGAGCU